rnacentral:rRNA from 1 species
AACAAUUAUUCCUAUCGCCAGCGUGAGAGUUAUUCCAGUGCUCAAGUUUUCUUGGGCUUUUGCCAAGUGUAAAAAGCUUGGAAAAAAAGGGGUGGGAAAGACUGGUGCCAGCCGCCGCGGUAACACCAGCGCCUCGAGUGGGGAUCACGAUUAUUGGGUCUAAAGCGUCCGUAGCAGGCUUUGUAAAUGCUUUGUGAAAUCGGCAGGCUUAACCUGCCGGCGUGCAGAGUAGACUGCAAAGCUCGAGACCGGAAGAGGUUAGAAGUAUUCCUAGGGAACCGGUAAAAUGGGUUAAUCCUAGGAGGACUACCUAUGGCGAAGGCAUCUAACCAGAACGGUUCUAACUGUAAGGAACGAAAGCUAGGGAAGCAAAACGGAUUAGAUACCCAAGUAGUCCUAGCCGUAAACGCUGUGAGCAAGGAAUUGCACUUCCCACGGGGACGUGCAGGGUCGAAACGAAGGUGUUAAGCUCACCACCAGGGAAGUACGGCCGCAAGGCUGAAACUUUAAGGAAUUGGCGGGGGAGCGCCACAAGGGGUGCGGCUUGCGGUUCAAUCUAACUCAACGCAAAGAACCUCACUAGGCCCAACGGCAGGAUGAAGGUCAUGCUGAAGACAUUACCUGACAAGCCAAGAGGUAGUGCAUGGCCGUCGCCAGCUCGUGCUGUGAAGUGUCCAGUUAAGCCUGGCAACAAGCAAGACCUGUACUUUCUAUUGCUAACAACCACAUGUGGGAUCAAGCUCUUUGAAAGGACUGCCCUGGAAACGGGAAGAAAGGUGCAGGCUACGGUAGGUCUGUAUGCUCCGAAUGGCCUAGGCUACACGCGCGCAACAAUGAUUGGGACAAUGGGAUGCCACUCCGAAAGGAGGAGCUAAGCCUCUAAACCCAAUCCUAGUACAAAUCGAGGCUUGUAACUCAGCCUCGUGACGUUGGAAUCCCUAGUAAUCGGAUGUCAUCAUCGUCCGGUGAAUAUGUCCCCG